AGGACGAACGCUGGCGGCGUGCUUAACACAUGCAAGUCGAGCGGAAAGGCCCUUCGGGGUACUCGAGCGGCGAACGAGUGAGUAACACGUGAGUAAUCUGCCCCUAGCUCUGGGAUAGCUCCGGGAAACCGGGAUUAAUACCGGAUAUGACCACUUUAGACAUCUGCUGUGGUGGAAAGAUUUCGGCUAGGGAUGAGCUCGCGGCCUAUCAGCUUGGUUGGUGGGGUAACGCCUACAAGGCGACGACGGGUA
rnacentral:rRNA from 1 species